AUUUCAAUUCCUACCGAUCUUCUUAUUCCAUUACAACCCACCUAGGGUUUUUAGUUCAAGCCAAGCUAAGCACCAUAAAGACAACCCAUCUGCCUCUCGGAGACUGUCCUCCUCUUCCUCUACCUUUCUCUCUCUUCCUCAUUUUCUCUUCAAUAAAUAUGCCUACACCUUUCUUCUCUCACAUAACUAUACCAUCUACUACAAGAGAAAGAGAUCUGUGUAUCUCUCUCCAUGUGGUGAAUACGAUUUCAUCAUAUGGGUUCCUGAAUGAAACACUGGGAAAAAAACAUUUGGAUCUUUAAAUUUUUAUUCUUUUCCUGUCAUGAGGGUUUGACAAAGAGUUUCUUACAGAUUUCUUUGGCAUUCUGUCCACCUCCUUCUAUGUAAAUAAGUGUAUCCUGUAUACCUGUAUAUAUGUAUGUAUUGUGUUUUAAAGAGGGAGGUGUGCAUACUGCCAAUAGACAUCUGUUAGGGUUUCUUCGUAAAACCUUCUUGAUAUAUAUACAUAACUUUAUCAAUGUCCUGAAUAGGGUGAGUCUGUUACUUGGCAACGACAGGGCUCGAUCUGGGAAAAAAGUUUAAACACUGGGAUAAAGAGAAGGACCCAGAACUCCAAAAAGGUGAAUGAAGGUGAAUGCAGCACUACAAAAUUUGCGACGAUGAGUUUUGUAAGUUUGCAUGGAGCUCCAAUAAGAGAGAGGCUAUUGGUUACAAAUUUUUCAUUAAUUACGACACGGUGGUCGUUGGUGAAUCUUUUAAAUCUGUAAAAAUUUGUACAAUGAUAUUGCUCUAAUACUUGAUCAAGGAAGAGGUGAAGAAUGAGGUGAUGAUAUCAUAAAAGAGAUUCGACUUAUCAAGCUUAAAAUUCCAAAUCAUUGGUUAUUCAUGACACUC